UGGGGAAUUUUGGACAAUGGGGGCAACCCUGAUCCAGCAACGAUGCGUGGAGGACGAAGGUUUUCGGAUUGUAAACUCCUUUUGAGAGGGAAGAAAAAAAUGACGGUACCUCUCGAAUAAGCCACGGCUAACUUCGUGCCAGCAGCCGCGGUAAUACGAAGGGGGCAAGCGUUGUUCGGAAUUACUGGGCGUAAAGCGCACGCAGGCGGCGUGACGCGUCAGAAGUGAAAUCCCCGGGCUCAACCUGGGAACUGCUUUUGAAACGGUCAUGCUUGAAUCAUGGAGAGGGUAGCGGAAUUCCGAGUGUAGAGGUGAAAUUCGUAGAUAUUCGGAAGAACACCGGUGGCGAAGGCGGCUACCUGGCCAUGUAUUGACGCUCAGGUGCGAAAGCGUGGGGAGCAAACA
rnacentral:rRNA from 1 species